rnacentral:rRNA from 1 species
UACAGAGGUGGCAAGCGUUGUUCGGAAUUACUGGGCGUAAAGGGCGCGUAGGCGGCUUGGUCAGUCCCGUGUGAAAUCCCUCGGCUCAACUGAGGAACUGCACGGGAAACUGCCUGGCUUGAGUUCGGGAGAGGGAAGCGGAAUUCCGGGUGUAGCGGUGAAAUGCGUAGAUAUCCGGAGGAACACCGGUGGCGAAGGCGGCUUCCUGGACCGACACUGACGCUGAGGAGCGAAAGCGUGGGGAGCGAACAGG